GCAGGAAUGUGAGGCCAAUGACGGCGUAUGUGCAAAGACAGUGAAAUCAGAGGGGAAGGGUAUUGAUAAUGACAGGCACCUGUGACAGGGUCUUGGGAACCCAUCAAAGGGCCGAUUGAGUUUCAAGAGUAGGCAGGCACGCAGAGUGAUGGUCCGAGCCCUUUGUAAGGACACAGUUGAAACCUGCGUCAGCAGGUGACUUCUCUAAUUUCACCUGUUUUCCCAGAAGGUGGUGAAAGAAUGGGGAGAAUUAGUGUCAGCUGCCCCUGCUUUCCUGUCCCCACCCCCUCUCCCACCUUUUCACCCUUUCCAGCGGAGGUGGAGCAAGGCCACUGAAAUAGCUAGAAGGGCUCAUAUUUUGUGAUAUACCUUCCUGGCUGGUGGAUCCGUCAGCAAAAGGGAGUUGGCUUUAUGCUGGAUGCCCUUUGAAUAUAUCAUGUCCCACCCUUCUGGUCAGCAGCGUUUCUACUGAACAAUCAGUGAUAGCCUUAUUGGGUUUCUCUGGUGCGUUAUAAACUGCUGCAUUGGAGCUGAGUCUUGGACCGAAUGAUAAAGCACUGGCUCCUUAUGAGCAGCUAGUCAGUGUUCUGUAACCCUCUGAUGUUCCUGGAGCUCAAAAAUGGUCAUAUACAUACUCACGAGACUUGAGAGAAGACUGGAUGAAUAGUCGACUAGAGGAUGCAGAAGAACGGAUCAGCAAUCUGAAAGAAUAGUGGAGAGAAACCAGAGUGAACAGCAAGAAGAAAAAAAAAAGGAUAGGUUAAAAGACCUCUGUACCCAACAUCAAGCAUCCUAACGUUUGUUGGUGCUAUAUAGGGAUUCCCAGAAGAAGAGAGAGAGAAAGGAGCAUAAAGCUUAUUUGAAUAAAUAAUGGCUGAAAAAUCUCCCUAAUCUGGGCAAAUGAACAGACAUCCAGGAAGCAGAUCCAAACAAUACGAAGUUAAAUAAUUCUGUAAUUAUAAUAGCAAAAAUUAAAGAGAGAAUGUUACAAGUAGCAAGAGAAAAGGAAAGAAUUACAUAGAAGGAAAAUCCAUAAGACUAUCAGCAGGAUUUUCAGGAGAAACAUUGAAUAUAUCAUGCCUCUCCUUUCUGGAUUGCAAAUAGCUAAGGGGGAGAAAAUCCCUACAACCCAGAAUACCCUAUGGAUCAAGGUUAUCAUUCAAGAUUAAAGGAGAAAUAAAGAGUGUCCCAGACAAACAAAAGUUAAAGGAGUCAAUUACCACUAAAUUGAUGUUACAAAAAAUAUUAAAGGGGAUCU